AUCCAUUUCAAAAAAUAUUUAUGAAGUCCAAUUAUGAGUCUAUAACCUGUCAAAAAGUCUUUUCUAAGAGCUUCAAAACCAACAUACAAUCUCUAAAAUUCUAAUCUAUUAGCAGACCUCUCAACCUUUAUAAUUACUAUUAUGCCUUUAUUCCUUAUUCGGAUCUCUUUACAGUAGUCAAGUAGUUUGCCAUAAUAUUUGUUAUGACAUCUUCUUAUAG
rnacentral:lncRNA from 1 species